ACCUGGCCUUUGCAGGGCUGGGUUCCAAAAGGCCAAAGUUCAUAAAAUCAGGAGCGAAGUAAAGACAACAGGAAUCACAACAGCUGGGAGAGGCAUACUUAAUCGUUCGCCAGGAACAUUGUCUCAGUGAGAAACACUCUUUGGAGCAGGGCAAGCCGUUCAUCUUGCUGGCUGCUGGCUGAGAUCGUUUUUAUCAUGACUUCUUCGGAAGCUUCCAAUGGAAAGUGGCAUCGGAAAACCAAGACUCGUCAGCAAGAGUCCAAGUCCGAUCAAGCCAAGAGUCAUGAAAAUAUGCAGGAAGACCUGGUUGAGUGGGAAAAAUACAUGAAGAAAGUAAAAGGGAAAGUUUUAGAGCAGGUCCAGGAUCAUCUCAGAGAUAUUCUUGACAAAGCUCUGACUGAGUCUAUCGAGCCUCCUGCCCAUCUUAAAUCUGCACUGAAUGGGAAAACGACAACAAAAGAGUCAUCCAGAUCUCAAAGGAAGGAUGAUGGCAAAGUGUUUUUGGAGCGAGCAUCUCUGUUGGAUGACCUGUUUGAGAUCAGCCACAUUAGGACCAUCUACCACAUGUUUAUUGCUGUGCUCCUCAUCUUCUGUUUGAGCACUUUGGCUGUUGACUACAUUGACCAGGGCAGGUUGGUUUUGGAGUUUGACCUGCUGUUCUACGCCUUUGGGAAACUCGGGACGGUCACCUGGGCUUGGCUUGCCAUGUUCAUUUACACCCUUGUUGUUCCUUACUUCAUCCUGGAGUUUUGGGGCUCUUUGUACCACAAAUUCCCCUCCAAGUUGGGGCUCACUCUGGGUGCAGGGUUGAUCUUUACUACCAUACAGACCUGCGUGCUUGGACUGUUCCCAAUCUACACAGUUGUGCAUCACCAGCUGCCUCCAGCGUCUCGAUUUAUUGUGAUUCUGGAGCAGAUUCGAUUCUUGAUGAAGACCUACUCGUUCAUUAGAGAAACGGCCCCUGUUAUCCUGAAGAAUACACCAAAGGAAGGAGAAAAUCCCAGGUUUCCAACAUUUUCCAGCUACUUGUACUUCCUUUUCUGUCCAACUCUCAUCUACAGGGAAUUUUAUCCUCGAAAUAGACAAAUACGUUGGAAAUAUGUUGCUGUUACUCUUGGCAAGAUUUUUGGAUGCCUAUUUUAUGGGUAUUUCAUCCUGGUGCGACUUUGUAUACCUGUCUUCAGACCGGAGACCAAUCAGCCUUUUAGCAAAAGAACAAUGGUUCUGGCUGUAUUUCACUCCAUAUUACCAGGAAUAAUGCUCCUCCUGCUGUGUUUCUUUGCCUUUUUGCACUGCUGGCUCAACCUCUUUGGGGAGCUGCUGCGUUUUGCUGACAGGAUGUUCUACAAGGACUGGUGGAACUCUACAUCCUUUGCAAACUAUUAUCGUACGUGGAACGUAGUGGUUCACGACUGGUUGUACUACUACGGAUACAGAGACUUCCUCUGGCUGUCCAACAGGAGAUUCAGAGCAGCAGCCAUGCUGUCCGUGUUCAUUGUCUCUGCAGUGGUCCAUGAAUAUGCUUUGGCCAUGGGCUUUGGCUUCUUCUAUCCUGUCAUGUUCUGUCUCUUUGCAGUUUUUGGAGUGGCUUUCAACUUUACCAUGACCGAUAAGCGACAGAGCCCCGUGUUCAACGUCAUCAUGUGGGCAUGUCUCUUCCUGGGUCAGGGUGUCCAGGUGUGUCUGUACUGCCAGGAGUGGUAUGCCCAGAUACACUGCCCACCAGCAGGGGACAUAAAAGAAAGAUAGUGUUGCUGUAGACAUGCAGAGAAUCCUUUAACAUCAUUUGGAGCAAAACAUUUUCAGUCUACACACAAAUCAAUGGAAGAAUGGCAGAUGUGGGAACAAUUCAUGAGGAUUUAAUCAUUAGAAAACCAAGCCCUCAUACCUGGCAUUACAUAUGACUUGGAGGAUUGUCUCUACAGAUGGGUUAACAUGAACUUAAAAUUCUGAUGUUCACCACAAAUGUCUUCGUCUAAAAAUUUGUUACAUGCUUGUUACAUGGAUAGUUUGUGGGAGCUGGUGAUGCCUCGAUCCUGGUCCUGCAGAUACCACAAAUGAAGUCAUAUUUCUCCCUAAUCUGGAUUCAACAUGAAUGAAAAUGGAAAAAUUUAUAAUGGACUGAAAAGAAGGAAAAGCAAGCAAGGAAGAAGAAAACUUGAAACGUGCAAUUUAAAUUUUGUACAGACAGCCUUAAAAACAUUUUGUUACUUAGUCAUUUUAAGAUGUUCUUUUCAAUGAACUGUUUUCUUUGAUCACAAAGAGACAGAACAACAUUACACCAGAAAACUGGUGACCACUUAUCAUUAAAAGUAUGUGUUGCUGUUUUGAAGUGGCCCAUGUAAUUAUAUUACUUUAUGUAAUGUUAGACUGGUCACAUAAACAAUAAUUUACAGAAGGGGAUAAGUACUGUAUUUCCGGAUAGUACUAGCUGUCUAAAUGUCGUAUCCCUUUAAACUUUAAUUUUUGAAAUUUACAUGUCUUGAGCCUUGCAAGACAAUUUCCCUUUUAAUGGCUUAUUGUUUUUACUGUUUUUAUAUUAAAAACAUUAUUGUUUCUUUGCUCGACUUUCUGUUUCGGCUCUAUACAAAAGUCAUUUCGGCUUUGAAGCAUCUUUAAACUGGCUUUGAACCUGAUGGCGCCUCUGGCCAGCAGAGCGCAUUACAAGUUUAGUUCUGACAUGUUUGACAUUUCCCUGGCAAGGAUUGGUUGAUGGAGCGGCUGUGUAAACCAGCCAACCAACCACAUUCUGCGGUGUCUUAUCAGCAUGCCACAAAGCCUCUGUUUGCCUGCCCGCCUGCAGCAUCAUGCAGGAAGGAGAGGAUUAACUUUGGUACAGUGUUUGCAUUAGUGAUGUAAUGCUCUGUAAACUGAUGGGGCACAAUAAAAGAGUUCAGCGAGGUAGACGCUGGGCAGCUUUUAGGGAAGUGUAGAAGAUUCAGAAGAUUUGUGUUUAUGAUUAUUAACAAAAGUUUGUGAUAACUCUGGUAGUGUGACAUUUUUUAAAUCUGCAAUGAGAUUUUAUCCGACUCUCUAUAAAAGUUGUUGCACAUUUGGUUUCUGUCAUGGAUGCAGUUGUCAGACAAUGAAUCACUGGCACUAUAAAGGUCACAAAAAGAAAAUUGAAUCUAAACAAAUCCUGCAGCAGAUUCUGAGUUCAUUUUCUUGGGAACAUUUGACCACAUGGGGGCAGAGCAUAUGAGAGAACCUAACAUGUUCAGAUUUAUUUAUUAAGUCUCUUUCAUAGGGACAGACACAAUAACAUAGACAAACCGAAUAGAACGGCAGUCCCAUGCCUGUAUCAUGUUGCCUAUAGUAUAUGCAGCACUUGUCACUUAUAUUGACAGAAGACCUUUGAAACUUUAACUGUACUCUCUCUCUUUCUAUCUUUUUACUAUAUUUACUAAAUCUAAAAUAACUGAGCUUUGGAGCAAUACUUGUAUCCUAUCUUCUAAUUUUGAUGUAUUUU